GACCUCGUAGCUCUGGCGGUUAGAGCGUUGGCUGUACUCAAGCUUUACUCUUGUUGUCGUGGGUUCGAAACCCACCAAGGCCA
rnacentral:tRNA from 1 species